ensembl:lncRNA
AUGUCACCAUAUCAUUCCCCAAAGCAAAUGAAGCAUAAAGAAACACAAGGAGACAGGCUCACUUUCUCUUCUUCGGGACUGUCGUUCCUGGGUCACAUAAAUUCUGGGUGGAAUGAGACGGUGCCCCUCACGACAGAGGAGAGAGAGAGUCAGAAGUUGGGUGUUGAAUGCUCCAUUGUGCAGCUGUUACAUUUCACAGUUCUAACCCAAGUCGCACUCAGAAUAGUUUCUCCUUCCACUCUUCUGGAAGAAAAACAUGCAAGCAGGAGUUUUUGUGUUUCCAAAAAUGUGCUGAGGGUGAACUCCGAGGACCCUCUGACUUCUUGAGAUACAAGUUUAGAGAGAACCUCCUGAGUUAACUUCUACAUACUCCUGUGCAGUGUGUAUGAAAUACCGACUAUUCCAUACCUGGGUGUCUGGGUAGGUGGUUGAUCAUUUCUUUAUGCCCCUAUAGUCCACCAACAUAUAAUAGAAUACUUAUUAUAACAAUCCUCUUAUCAUAUGCAGAUUGACAAAAUUUACAUGACUUUCAACCAAUUUCUCCAUAAAUAGUUUAUUGUAAAUCAGCAAAAGGCAAAUAUUUUGUACAAAUACUCAACAGUAGUGAAAUGGAGAGUAUAAAAGCUCAGUUUUACAUUUGUAAAUCAAUGAUUAAUCAUUAAAUAACCUUGUGUUGUUGGGGAAUGCCCUCCACUCUAUCCUGACUGUUAGCUGUUCAAUGGAAAUCUACACUGACAAGGAAUUUGCUGUUUCAUGGAAGAAUCCAACAUAUCUUGAGGUCACUGAACGCUGUUAGAAAAUCCUUCCUUCUCACUGAAGUUAUUGGUGAACAUUUGAUUCUUAUGAGUAGUUUUCCAUGCCUUGUAUAAUCAUUAUCUUCCUUUCAACCACCUUUGUAGUUUUUCCAAUGUUUUUAAACAUUGAACAAGUAUUAUACAUAAUUGGGUCUGGAGGUGCCGCAUUUGCUUUCAAGACUCCAGCACUUAAUGCUUUUUAGCAUCAUGCUGUUGGCUUAUAACAAGACUGGGAUUAACUAAAACCCAACCAUUUUUAACAAAUCCCAAUGACAAACCAAGUCUCCAUAUCCUGUGAUAGCACCAACAAUUCCUUUGAUUCUAAGUGUAGAACUUUCCAUGAAUCCUGAUUAUGUCAUUUUGUCAUGUGGGUUUGGACUUUCAAUCCCUUAAGUUUCUUUUGAACUCUUAUUUCCUUGUGCAGUGUAUUUAUCCAGGAUAUUGUAAUGAGAAAAAAAGGAACCAAACCCAAACCAACCAAGAACCCCCAGCCAUGCCUUGCAUAUCUCUGUAUAAGAGAUACACGAUGACAGAAAAUAUAUUCUUGAAGACCAAAUAGAAGAUAUAAUAUCACAACAUAGGGUUUCAUUUCAUUAAUUCACUCAAAUGUUCAUGGAAACCUAGUCCAUGCCAGAUACUGUUAGGCCUUAUAAAUAAUUAAAGCCUUAGCUUUUGUGAAGCUAAUAUUUUAGUGGAAGAGAUGGAGUAUAAACAGAAUGUGGUAGGAGGUAAACAUCGGUAGGUUAGAUAAAGAUAAGGUUGAAGAGGUGGCCAUUUAUUUUAGAGAUAGUUGCUAAAUAGGUGGCAUUUAAACUAAUGCCUUAAGUUUCCUAAGAAUUCAAAGAGCUUUUCAAAGAGCUGAGAGAACAUUUUAGGUCAAAGAGAACAGCAGAUACAGGAAGGAAUGACUUUGGUUAAGAACAGGUGGUCUCCAGCAUGAAGUUUCGAUUACGUUUUUUCUUUCUGAAUUACCGAUUGAUUUUUAAACAUUUCUGUGUAUUUAUGCGCCGAGUCUUCAUCGCUGCAUGCAGGCUGCUCUGGUUGGAGUGUGUGAGUGUCUCAUUGCAGUGGCUUCUCUCGUGGUGGAGCAUGGGCUCUAGGGCAUGUGGGUUCAGUAGUUGUGAUGCAUGGGCUUAGUCACUCUGCAGCAUGUGGGAUCUUCCCAGAUCAGGGAUCAAACCCACGUCCUAUCCUGCUUUGGCAGGUGGGUUCUUAACCACUGGACGACCAGGGAAGCCCUACCAAUUGCUUUUGAAUAAGCUUGUUUAAUUAGUAUGGUUAAAUGAAUUGUUUAUUAUUACCCAAUCCAUAUUUCUCCAUGGUGUUCAUGAGAAUAUCACAAGAAACUAUCAGAUAUAUUGGAAACAUCUUGUUUUAUUCUGUACUUCUUUUUCUGAUGUAUGAUUCAAAAUGAACAGAAAUCCUUUGGGAUUUGUUCCUAGUAAACUGUGGUGACUUGUUUGCUCAGGUCUUCUAAACCACUUGUUCUUGAAUCCUUUAUAGAAUUUAUCAGGAGUCUUAGUCAAGUGGAACAGUCAACAAUUUCUAAAAUGUAUGUUUCCAAUACAAUAUUGUAAAGUUAAAUAAAAUUAAAGAAAAAAAGAAACUUGGUUCAAGAUGUUUUAUAUCUUCAAUCUAUUCAGAUUUCUUCUAUUCCCCCUAAUUGUAAAGAUGAUCACAAAUGGUUCUUGAUCAAACUUACAAGAUGGUUCAAUACUUGGAAAUAUAUUUCACUCUGUUUUGAGUAAUUAGAUUUUCUUUCACACUAGAAACAUAUCAGGAUUUGUUCUGGUUCAUUAUGCUUUAAGUUUGGAGGCACUUUUCUUAAUAAAGAAAAAGGAAUCUGAAUAGUAUAAAACUGCUCUGUCCCCUUUCUUAUCUGGACGUUUUGCUUCAUGUGUGAUGGUUCACUUCAUGGCUGUCAGGCCUGGGCCAACUCUCUGUAUUUUGCUUUAAGUAUAGCUAACCAAUGAUAGCUUCUCUAGUGACUGACUAAGAUGGUGAAGAAUCUACCUGCAGUGCAGGAGACACAAGUUUGAUCUCUGAGCUGGGAAGAUUCCCUGGAGAAGGAAAGGGCAAUCCACUCUAAUAUGCUUGCCUGGGAAAUUUCAUGGACCGAGGAACCUGGCAGACUACAGUCCAUGGGGCUGCAAAGAGUCAGACAUAACUUAGCGACUAAACAACAAGGGCCUUUAUAGAUAGGAACUCGCAGCAAAGCAGUGGUCACUGUGGUGUUGACCUCACACCCAUGGUUUUAACAUCACGCCCAUGUCUUCCAGGCCUGGAGAGAACAGUGUGGAACAGGAUCCAGAGGUUUGUUUCUCCAAAUGUUUCCUUUCUCACUCUUUAAAAGUCUUCCUAGGUAUGUAGACUAAACAGAGCUUUAUAGGAAGGAAAGUCCACACCCCAGGGAAUUCCAACACUCAGAAGUACCUCAAGGACUCUAAACAAUUGAGGAGUGGCUCUUUUGGACACUUUUCCAUGCCAGGCUAUCCCAGGCAGUAGGCCAACAUUUGAAACUGAUGAGAAAAAUAC